GACUAAUAACUACGAACCGGAAGUUCUCGCCAAACUAUUUCCAACCCGCCAAACAAGCCGCUCUUGGAACCCAGUCCUACAGUCCUACUCCUAUAUAUUGGUUGUGUCUGAUUGGUACCCUUUGCAUGCAAUAGGAAGCCUAGCUACUACUGUUGUAGUACCACAGUAGCCGAGUUCGUGCGUGCGCCAACUGUUUCCUAGCAUAGCAAGCUGGUCGAGCUUCCGAAGAUGGCGCGGCAGCGUACGCGCUCUGCCUCCGCGCUCGCGCUCGCCGUGGCGUUGGUCGUCGGAGUCUUGGCGUCCAUCCCUAUCGAGGUGGCAUCCAUCGGCGUGUGCAACGGGAUGAUAGGCGACAGCCAGUCCCUGCCGUCGCGGGCCGACGUGGUGCAGCUGUACAGGACCAAGGGCAUCAGCGCCAUGCGCAUCUACGCCCCGGACCCCGAGACGCUCCAGGCCCUCGGCGACACCGGCAUCGACCUCAUCAUGGACGUCGGCAACGGCAACCUUUCCGCCCUCGCCUCCGACCCCGGCUUGGCGGCGUCCUGGGUCCAGGAAAACGUGCUGGCCUACCCGCGCGUCAGCAUCAAGUAUAUCGCGGCCGGCAACGAGGUGGAAGGCGGCGACACGCAGAACAUCGUCCCGGCCAUGACGAACCUCAACGCCGCGCUCUCCAAGGCCAGCCGCCCUGACGUGAAGGUGUCCACGGCUGUCAAGAUGAGCGUGCUCGCGUCCUCCUCGCCUCCCUCCAGCGGCGUGUUCAAAGACGCGUACAUGACGGAGGUGGCCCAGCUGCUCAAGGACACCAGCGCGCCGCUGCUCGCCAACGUGUACCCCUACAUCGCCAAAAGGGACACCCCGACCAUCGACCUCAGCUUCGCGCUCUUCCAGCCGAGCCCCAACCCGGUGAACGACAACGGCCUCACCUACACCAACCUCUUCGACGCCAUGGUCGACGCGAUGUACACGGCCAUGGAGCAGGCGGGCGCGUCGGCCGUGCCCAUCGUGGUCUCGGAGAGCGGGUGGCCGUCGGCCGGCGACGACCUGGCAACCCCCACUAACGCGCAGGCGUACAACCAGAACCUGAUCGACCACGUCGGCAAAGGUACGCCCAAGAGGGCCGGGCCCCUGGAGACGUACAUCUUCGCCAUGUUCAACGAGAACCGAAAGGACGGGCCCGAGACAGAGAGGAACUUUGGACUGUUCAACGGACCCGACAAGACGCCGGUGUACCCUAUAAACUUCACCAAUUACAUUGCCGUUUUGCGCCACAGCGCCAUGGCUUCCUCGUCCAUCUCGGCCAGGCUGAGACGGCGCUCCCGCCUCCAGUUCUCGCGACGAUCCUCGUCGGUGAUAAGCCCCGGGGGAGGCGCCAACUCCUGCGCCCGCUCCCGCGUCGCCAUGUCCGGUAAGUUCAUGUCCCAACGGGACCGCCGGAGGCGCCAUGCCGCAGCGUCGUACGCGCGGGCGCCCUCCUGGGCGGUGUCGAAGCAAGCUGAUCGAUCGAUGGAGCUUCUCAAGAUGGCGCGGCAACGUACGGUGGCCAUGGCGUUGGUCGUCGGAGUCUUGGCGUCCAUCACUAUCGGUAAUUAAGUGCAAUCCAUCGGCGUGUGCAACGGCAAGGUAGGCGACAACCUGCCAUCGCGGGCCGAGGUGGUGCGGCUCUACAAGUCCCUGGGAAUCGGCGCGAUGCGCAUCUACGAGCCGGAACCCGAGACGCUCCUGGCCCUCGACGGCACCGAGAUCGACCUCAUCAUGGACGUGGGUGGCGCCUUCGCCGCCAUCGCCUCCGACCCUGCCGCCGCGGCCGGCUGGAUCCGUGACAACGUGCUUGCCUUCCCGGGCGUCCGCAUCAAGUACAUUGCGGCCGGCAACGAGGUGGAGGGCAGCGACACGGACAGCAUCGUCCCGGCCAUCAAGAACCUCAACGCCGCGCUCGCCGCGGCCAGCCGCACUGACGUCAAGGUGUCCACGGCAGUCAAGAUGAGCGUGCUCGGCUCCUCCUCGCCGCCCUCCGAGGGCGCGUUCAAGGACGCGUUCAUGACGGAGGUGGCCAAGAUGCUCAAGGCCACCGGAGCCCCGCUCCUCGCCAACGUGUACCCCUACUUCGCCAAAAGGGACACCCCGGACAUCAACCUCGGCUUCGCGCUCUUCCAGCAAAGCCCCAGCACGGUGAGCGACAGCGGUCUCACCUACACGAACCUCUUCGACGCCAUGGUCGACGCGCUUUACUCGGCCUUGGAGAAGGCGGGUGCGCCGGAGGUGCCCAUCGUAGUCUCGGAGAGCGGCUGGCCGUCAGCCGGCGACGACCUGGCAACCGUCGCUAACGCGCAGGCGUACAACCAGGGGCUGAUCGACCACGUCGGCAAAGGCACGCCCAAGAGGGCGGUGCCGCUGGAGGCGUACAUCUUCGCCAUGUUCAACGAGAACCAAAAGGGAGGGGCCGUGACAGAGAAGAACUUUGGGCUGUUCAACGGCCCCGACAAGACGCCGGUGUACCCUAUAAAGUUCAACAAUUAGCUAAGACAACCGGACUACAUAUUCAUGUAUUACAAUACAUAUAUAGCUGCUGCUUCGAUCCAUCUUAAUAAGCUGCAGAAUAAUUCGUACAAUGUCAUAUGAAUAAGAGCCAUCAGUUGUGUUGGCAAUACGAAUCGUUUUCCCUCAAGCAUUGUAAACUUGUGAUGUACAGCGUUUGAUUCUAUUUUUUCCCUCAUAAACAAGUAUUUUUGCUAA